GAUGAACGCUAGCGGCAGGCCUAAUACAUGCAAGUCGAACGAGAUUAAGAGGCUUGCUUCUUAUGAAAGUGGCGCACGGGUGCGUAACGCGUAUGCAACCUACCUUAAUCAGGGGGAUAGCCCGAAGAAAUUCGGAUUAAGACCGCAUAAAAACACAGGAUAGCAUUAUCCAAUGUUCAAAUAUUUAUAGGAUUAAGAUGGGCAUGCGUGUCAUUAGCUAGUUGGCGGGGUAACGGCCCACCAAGGCGACGAUGACUAGGGGAUCUGAGAGGAUGACCCCCCACACUGGUACUGAGACACGGACCAGACUCCUACGGGAGGCAGCAGUAAGGAAUAUUGGUCACUGGAGGGUACUCUGACCCAGCCAUGCCGCGUGCAGGAAGACAGCCCUCUGGGUCGUAAACUGCUUUUAUUCGGGAAUAAACCUUUCUACGUGUAGGAAGCUGAAUGUACCGAAGGAAUAAGGAUCGGCUAACUCCGUG
rnacentral:rRNA from 1 species